GACGAACGCUGGCGGCGUGCCUAAUACAUGCAAGUUGAGCGAUGAAGAUUGGUGCUUGCACCAAUUUGAAGAGCAGCGAACGGGUGAGUAACGCGUGGGGAAUCUGCCUUUGAGCGGGGGACAACAUUUGGAAACGAAUGCUAAUACCGCAUAAUAACUUUAAACAUAAGUUUUAAGUUUGAAAGAUGCAAUUGCAUCACUCAAAGAUGAUCCCGCGUUGUAUUAGCUAGUUGGUGAGGUAAAGGCUCACCAAGGCGAUGAUACAUAGCCGACCUGAGAGGGUGAUCGGCCACAUUGGGACUGAGACACGGCCCAAACUCCUACGGGAGGCAGCAGUAGGGAAUCUUCGGCAAUGGACGAAAGUCUGACCGAGCAACGCCGCGUGAGUGAAGAAGGUUUUCGGAUCGUAAAACUCUGUUGGUAGAGAAGAAAGUUGGUGAGAGUGGAAAGCUCAUCAAGUGACGGUAACUACCCAGAAAGGGACGGCUAACUACGUG
rnacentral:rRNA from 1 species